rnacentral:tRNA from 1 species
GUUUAUAUAAUUUAAUAAAAAUAUUGAUCUUGUAAAUCAAAAAUAAGUUAUACACUUUUUAAACU